GAUGGUAUAGUUCAAUGGUAGAGCUUGUGCUUCGUAUGCAUGAGGCUCUGGGUUCAGAUCCAGCACCAUCA
rnacentral:tRNA from 1 species